CUGACGGAAACGCAUGGGUCGAUGUCGGAAGCGACAGCCCGGCAAUGCUCCCCGACGCAAAAGUCGAGAAGGGGCAGCGCGUGACAGUCAG
rnacentral:ncRNA from 1 species